CUCUUGGGAAGCAGCAAUCUCUGAAAAGCUUUUCAAUGUAAUCUGUGGCCUCUGAAGAAUGUCCAAAAACUAUUUACCAGUUUGUUAAAGUGAUGAAAGAAAUCAUCUUUUCGUGAGUUGGCCAGUGAAAACAUUUUUGAAAAUUCUUGCAAGAAAUACUUACAUAUGAAUGAGUUCACCACAGAGACAAAUGCUACAGUUCUGUAUGUAGAAUGUAAAAGGCAUAAUAACUUUCACAUUACACUCACACUGAAAGUCCUGUCUGCAAGUUCGCAUUCUAAGAGAGGAAGAGUUAAGCAAAUCAAGGAGUAUACAGGCAAUUACAUAUUACAAUUUGGUUUUAUUGUCUAGGAAUGCUGGGGGGCAGGUGUUGUAGUGAGAUCUAUAAACCACUUUAAAGAGAUGAGUUGUGUUGUAAUAUUUUAAGAUAGACAGGGAACACUGAAUUGGAGAUUCUAUAGCCCUGAGUUCAACAUAUAUAGACAAGCCAAGGCAAAGUAUUUUAAGCAGGAGAUGGAGGAUUUGGAAAUAUCCUGAAUUUAG